rnacentral:rRNA from 1 species
CACAGGGGAGCUUGCUCCCUGGGUGGCGAGUGGCGGACGGGUGAGGAAUACAUGGGAAUCUACCCUGUCGUGGGGGAUAACGUAGGGAAACUUACGCUAAUACCGCAUACGACCGAGAGGUGAAAGCGGCGGACCGCAAGGCGUCGCGCGACUGGAUGAGCCCAUGUCGGAUUAGCUAGUUGGCGGGGUAAAGGCCCACCAAGGCGACGAUCCGUAGCUGGUCUGAGAGGAUGAUCAGCCACACUGGAACUGAGACACGGUCCAGACUCCUACGGGAGGCAGCAGUGGGGAAUAUUGGACAAUGGGCGCAAGCCUGAUCCAGCCAUGCCGCGUGUGUGAAGAAGGCCUUCGGG